UACCCCGUGGUGUAAUGGUAGCACAAGUGGUUUUGAUCCACUGAGUUCUAGUUCAAGUCUAGGCGGGGUAGCCA
rnacentral:tRNA from 1 species